AGGACGAACGCUGGCGGCGUGCCUAAAACAUGCAAGUCGAACGGGGGAGCAAUCCCCAGUGGCGAACGGCGGAGUAAUACAUGAGGAACGUGCCCUGAAGACUGGGAUAGUCAUUGGAAACGAUGGGUAAUACCAGAUGUGGUGGAUACUUGGCAUCAAGAAUCCAUUAAACGGUUUUUCGCUUCAGGAGUGCCUCAUGGCCUAUCAGGUAGUUGGUGAGGUAAUGGCUCACCAAGCCGACGACGGGUAGCGGGUCUCAGAGGAUGAUCCGCUCGAGUGGGACUGAGACACGGCCCACACACCUACGGGUGGCAGCAGUUGGGAAUCUUGCACAAUGGGGGAAACCCUGAUGCAGCGACGCCGCGUGGAGGAUGACGGGUCUAGGCCUGUAAACUCCUUUAUCGGGAAAGACUUAGGACGGUACCCGAUGAAUAAGGACCGGCUAACUACGUGCCAGCAGCCGC
rnacentral:rRNA from 1 species